CAGUAGCCACGGGAAUACAGAGGGUGCAAGCGUUAAUCGGAAUUACUGGGCGUAAAGCGCGCGUAGGUGGUUUGUUAAGUUGGAUGUGAAAGCCCCGGGCUCAACCUGGGAACUGCAUCCAAAACUGGCAAGCUAGAGUACGGUAGAGGGUGGUGGAAUUUCCUGUGUAGCGGUGAAAUGCGUAGAUAUAGGAAGGAACACCAGUGGCGAAGGCGACCACCUGGACUGAUACUGACACUGAGGUGCGAAAGCGUGGGGAGCAAACAGGAUUAGAUACCCCCGUAGUCCCUGUCUCUUAUAA
rnacentral:rRNA from 1 species